AGAGUUUGAUCCUGGCUCAGGAUGAACGCUGGCGGCGUGCCUAACACAUGCAAGUCGAACGGACUUACAUUGAAGCCUAGCGAUAUGUAAGUUAGUGGCGGACGGGUGAGUAACGCGUGGGUAACCUGCCUUGUACUGGGGGACAACAGUUGGAAACGACUGCUAAUACCGCAUAAGCGCACAGCUUCGCAUGAAGCGGUGUGAAAAACUCCGGUGGUACAAGAUGGACCCGCGUCUGAUUAGCUGGUUGGUGAGGUAACGGCCCACCAAGGCGACGAUCAGUAGCCGGCCUGAGAGGGUGAACGGCCACAUUGGGACUGAGACACGGCCCAAACUCCUACGGGAGGCAGCAGUGGGGAAUAUUGCACAAUGGGGGAAACCCUGAUGCAGCAACGCCGCGUGAGUGAAGAAGUAUUUCGGUAUGUAAAGCUCUAUCAGCAGGAAAGAAAAUGACGGUACCUGACUAAGAAGCCCCGGCUAACUACGUGCCAGCAGCCGCGGUAAUACGUAGGGGGCAAGCGUUAUCCGGAUUUACUGGGUGUAAAGGGAGCGUAGACGGUUUUGCAAGUCUGAAGUGAAAGCCCGGGGCUUAACCCCGGGACUGCUUUGGAAACUGUAGAACUAGAGUGCAGGAGAGGUAAGUGGAAUUCCUAGUGUAGCGGUGAAAUGCGUAGAUAUUAGGAGGAACACCAGUGGCGAAGGCGGCUUACUGGACUGUAACUGACGUUGAGGCUCGAAAGCGUGGGGAGCAAACAGGAUUAGAUACCCUGGUAGUCCACGCCGUAAACG
rnacentral:rRNA from 1 species